ensembl:lncRNA
GGCACAGUGGGAUACUGAUUUAACCCUUACUGUUACGCCACGGCCAGCAGAGGGCACUGCGAUACGGCCGCUGACUGGUCACGUGACUCUUUUGUUUUCGUUCACUUCCCGCUUGGACACUGAGUUAAGUUUGUCUCUGAUUUGCCACAGGUGCACAUGUUUUGAGUUAAUUAGGUUUGUUAGUUAAACCCCCCGUGUGACUGCGCACAUUGCGCAGUAUUAUAGUUGGUUAGUUCGUCAAGUGAAGGAAGUAUACCGGUAUGUGCUAAGGUGUAGCAUGCUAGCGGUCGUAGCUAGGGGACCAGAGUGAGUAUAGUCAGUAGAGACCGCGCUCCCUGUGUUUGUUUACCUGUUUAUUUGUUUCUGGUUUAAGUAAUAAAGACUGUGACCUGCACCUGCAUCCGCCUCCAGUCUCGUUCCGUGACAGAAUACUGCGCCCAAAAAUGCGGAAGCAGCAGGUCGCUAUGAGCGCCGCCGAAGAGGCCAGGAUUUGGGCGCUUCUCCGUUCGUCCCUGGAGUUGAGCAAACAGCUCGCGGAGGACAUUUCUCAGUGCAAGGCCGAGCUGCGCGCCGCGUCGUCCCUCGCGCCAUAUACCCCGUCCCCGUCGCCAAGGAGCGACGCCUUGCAACAUAGCCAGCAAAGUAACCUGAGCAUCUGGGGCUUUCCACUGCAGGGGAGGUAUACCUUGCUGCGCAGUCCAGAGGUGAAGGCUGGCCCAGAAUUUUAUGUCCAAGUCCAGCCCACAGUCCCUGAGAGCCAAGUCAAGCCCACAGACCCGGAGGUCCAAGUCCCAGUCAAGUCUCAUGUUCCUGAUGUCCAAGUCUCCCUGUUCAGCCUCCCUGGUCGGCUGUGGACGUCGCUCAGCCUCCCUGGUCGGCUGUGGACGUCGCUCAGCCUUCCUGGUCGGCUGUGGACGUCGCUCUGCCUCCCUGGUCGGCUGUGGACGUCGCUCUGCCUCCCUGGUCGGCUGUGGACGUCGCUCUGCCUCCCUGGUCGGCUGUGGACGUCGCUCUGCCUCCCUGGUCGGCUGUGGACGUCGCUCAGCCUCCCUGGUCGGCUGUGGACGUCGCUCUGCCUCCCUGGUCGGCUGUGGACGUCGCUC